rnacentral:misc_RNA from 1 species
UGGUUCUGGCAUCGAUGAAGAACGCAGCGAAAUGCGAUAAGUAAUGUGAAUUGCAGAAUUCAGUGAAUCAUCGAAUCUUUGAACGCACAUUGCACCCUCCGGUAUUCCGGGGGGUAUGCCUGUUCGAGCGUCAUUUCAACCCUCAAGCACAGCUUGGUAUUGGGUGUCACCUGGCAGUGGUGUACCUUAAAAUCAGUGGCGGUGCCAUCUGGCUUCAAGCGUAGUAAAUUUUCUCGCUUUGGAGGUUUUGGAUGUGUGCUUGCCAUCAAUUCCCAAUUUUUUCAAAGGUUGACCUCGGAUCAGGUAGGGAUACCCGCUGA